rnacentral:rRNA from 1 species
GACGAACCGUGCAAACGUUAUUCGGAAUCACUGGGCAUAAAGGGCGCGUAGGCGGCCACCGCAAGUCGACUGUGAAAUCUCCGGGCUUAACCCGGAAAGGUCAGCCGAUACUGCGGGGCUAGAGUGCAGAAGGGGCAACUGGAAUUCUCGGUGUAGCGGUGAAAUGCGUAGAUAUCGAGAGGAACACCUGCGGCGAAGGCGGGUUGCUGGGCUGACACUGACGCUGAUGCGCGAAAGCUAGGGGAGCGAACGGG